AACGAACGCUGGCGGCAUGCCUAACACAUGCAAGUCGAACGAGACCUUCGGGUCUAGUGGCGCACGGGUGCGUAACGCGUGGGAACCUGCCCUUAGGUUCGGAAUAACUCCCCGAAAGGGGUGCUAAUACCGGAUAAUGUCUUCGGACCAAAGAUUUAUCGCCUUUGGAUGGGCCCGCGUUGGAUUAGCUAGUUGGUAGGGUAAAAGCCUACCAAGGCGACGAUCCAUAGCUGGUCUGAGAGGAUGAUCAGCCACACUGGGACUGAGACACGGCCCAGACUCCGACGGGAGGCAGCAGUAGGGAAUAUUAGACGAGGGGCGAAAGCGUGAUACAGCAAUGCCGCGUGAGUGAGGAAGGCCUUAGGGUUGUAAAGCUCUUUUACCCGGGAUGAUAGUGACAGUACCGGGAGAAUAAGCACCGGCUAACUCCGUG
rnacentral:rRNA from 1 species